GUUUGACAGUCUGCCCUUUUACCUGGAUGUAUCAAGGAUGGAAGCACAUGCUACAAACAUUUGGAUUUCCUUCUACAAUCCCGCAGCAGCCUUUCCCUCAGACCAUGCUGUUGGGACAUGACUUGAAAACUUGGUACUGGACGCAGAAACUUCUUCCAGUAUUCAUGAUGUUACAACUGACACAAUAAAGGGACAGUGUUUGUUUUCUGUUCCAUAA